GUUUUCUCAGUGAUCGGUGUCAGAGAAC
rnacentral:piRNA from 1 species